CAGAGAACAGGUCUACACAAAACUGGUUUUUUGAGGCAGAAGUGUCCCACCAGAUGCAAGCAAUGGGAAAUCAGGAGGAAGACGAGGGAAGCUCAAGCACAAAGCUGUCAGGAUUCAAUGAAGAGACCACAGCUCCAAAUGAGUCACCUCCUUGUAAGAAGAAA